rnacentral:lncRNA from 1 species
AGUAGCAGCAGUGCUGAACUUUCUCCAUUUAUAGACAAUUUGUCUUACCGUGGACUGAUGAACAGCAAGGCUUUUGGGGAUACUUUUAUAACCCUUUCCAGCUUUAUGCAAGUCAACAAUUCUUAAUCGUAGGUCUUCUGAGAGCUCUUUUGUGCAAGUCAUCAUUCACAUCAGGCAAUGCUUCUUGUGAAAAGCAAACCCAGAACUGGUGUGUGUUUUUUAUAGGGCAGCUGUAACCAACACCUCCAAUCUCAUCUCAUUGAUUGGACUCUAGUUGGCUGAC